AUGUUAUCCGAUAACUAUUAUGGGAUAGGCACAUGUGCAAAUUUAAUCGUUUUACUGGAAGUACUUUCAUGAUGGCGAGUUCGGCUGACCUGAUAAAUGGAGUGAAAAUGAUUUGAAAUUGCGCACCAUGGGAUAUUUUACGAAUAUGUGAACCUAAAGGCAAAGCAACAGAAAAUUAAAUUUAGAACGCCCUGACACCGUAAAACAAGCAAAUGAUCAGGAAAUAUCAUCGAUCCAAUUGCAGAUGAGAGAAAUGGUAAAUGCAUGACGAUGGAAGAAAUGGAAAAAACGGAAGGUGGACAAUCCGGAACACCCAAAAUGGUAUAGGAAGCGAUACCCAAAUUUAAGGAUAGAAGACCGUUCAAACUUUGUUUAUAAACCCUAAUUUAAAUUCGCUUAAUCAUAUUUUAUUUUGGAAGACAAAACAUGCUGAAUAAAUAUAAUUAAAUUUAAA